AGAGUUUGAUCCUGGCUCAGGAUGAACGCUGGCGGCGUGCCUAAUACAUGCAAGUCGAGCGAACGGAUGAGAAGCUUGCUUCUCUGAUGUUAGCGGCGGACGGGUGAGUAACACGUGGAUAACCUACCUAUAAGACUGGGAUAACUUCGGGAAACCGGAGCUAAUACCGGAUAAUAUUUUGAACCGCAUGGUUCAAAAGUGAAAGACGGUCUUGCUGUCACUUAUAGAUGGAUCCGCGCUGCAUUAGCUAGUUGGUAAGGUAACGGCUUACCAAGGCAACGAUGCAUAGCCGACCUGAGAGGGUGAUCGGCCACACUGGAACUGAGACACGGUCCAGACUCCUACGGGAGGCAGCAGUAGGGGAUCUUCCGCAAUGGGCGAAAGCCUGACGGAGCAACGCCGCGUGAGUGAUGAAGGUCUUCGGAUCGUAAAACUCUGUUAUUAGGGAAGAACAUAUGUGUAAGUAACUGUGCACAUCUUGACGGUACCUAAUCAGAAAGCCACGGCUAACUACGUGCCAGCAGUCGCGGUAAUACGUAGGUGGCAAGCGUUAUCCGGAAUUAUUGGGCGUAAAGCGCGCGUAGGCGGUUUUUUAAGUCUGAUGUGAAAGCCCACGGCUCAACCGUGGAGGGUCAUUGGAAACUGGAAAACUUGAGUGCAGAAGAGGAAAGUGGAAUUCCAUGUGUAGCGGUGAAAUGCGCAGAGAUAUGGAGGAACACCAGUGGCGAAGGCGACUUUCUGGUCUGUAACUGACGCUGAUGUGCGAAAGCGUGGGGAUCAAACAGGAUUAGAUACCCUGGUAGUCCACGCCGUAAACGAUGAGUGCUAAGUGUUAGGGGGUUUCCGCCCCUUAGUGCUGCAGCUAACGCAUUAAGCACUCCGCCUGGGGA
rnacentral:rRNA from 1 species